rnacentral:rRNA from 1 species
AUUGAACGCUGGCGGCAGGCUUAACACAUGCAAGUCGAGCGGGGGAAGGUAGCUUGCUACCGGACCUAGCGGCGGACGGGUGAGUAAUGCUUAGGAAUCUGCCUAUUAGUGGGGGACAACAUCUCGAAGGGGAUGCUAAUACCGCAUACGUCCUACAGGAGAAAGCAGGGGAUCUUCGGACCUUGCGCUAAUAGAUGAGCCUAAGUCGGAUUAGCUAGUUGGUGGGGUAAAGGCCUACCAAGGCGACGAUCUGUAGCGGGUCUGAGAGGAUGAUCCGCCACACUGGGACUGAGACACGGCCCAGACUCCUACGGGAGGCAGCAGUGGGGAAUAUUGGACAAUGGGGGGAACCCUGAUCCAGCCAUGCCGCGUGUGUGAAGAAGGCCUUAUGGUUGUAAAGCACUUUAAGCGAGGAGGAGGCUACUUUAGUUAAUACCUAGAGAUAGUGGACGUUACUCGCAGAAUAAGCACCGGCUAACUCUGUG